GCAUCUGAGUCACUUACUUCGAAGCUGUUUUAAAAAUGACGUCGUAACUAUUCUCGAGUCAGUACAAAAGACGACCUGUUUCAUGUCUCUCUUCACUGCUCCAGAAGACUCGAAAGCAACAUUUCCGCUAAAGUGAAUGACUGUGUAAUGAAGACAACGGAGUUACUUGUGGUGGCAACUGUCAUACUGUCGUUCGACAAAGUUUGUGACACGGUGCCAACAAGAAGGCAACAACAAGGGUCACUACAGCGUCGGCAUCAGGGUCAACAGCCCCACCAGCGUGUGGCGCUCGCUCCAUGGUACGAGGAAUAUCCUGACAUGACGGCGUACCAGGAUGUGCCACCUUACUUGUCUGUAUACCCCGUGGUGCUGUAUGAUGGGUCCAUUUACUAUCCGCCUCCUAUGGACUUGCAAGAUCCUUUUUACUACAUGGGGCUGGGAGGAUAUGGACCCUGCCGCAGUGGCCAGAAGAAGCAUAGUCAUCAGCACCAACCAAGACAAUAGAUAACAUUUCAACAACACGUGGACUGUCACAGCAAAACUGGCGUGUUAACAUCACUCACUCAGUUUGUUAUUGACACUGUUACAGCGUUCUCCGUGUGAGUUGCUAAAACCACAUGUGACAGAGCCCCAAGUACCUGAAAAACGCAGAACUGGAUUUACCUGUGUGCUGUGGAACUUCAACUACUCCAAUUAAAGUGGAAAAAUCAA